UACGUAGGGGGCGAGCGUUAUCCGGAUUUAUUGGGCGUAAAGAGUUCGUAGGCGGUUUGUUAAGUCUAAAAUUCAAGCCCGAGGCUUAACCUCGGUUCGUUUUAGAAACUGGCAAACUUGAGUGUGGUAGAGGCAAGUGGAAUUUCUAGUGUAGCGGUUAAAUGCGUAGAUAUUAGAAGGAACACCAGUGGCGAAGGCGGCUUGCUGGGCCAUUACUGACGCUGAGGAACGAAAGCGUGGGGAGCAAA
rnacentral:rRNA from 1 species